UACGUAGGGUGCGAGCGUUGUCCGGAAUUAUUGGGCGUAAAGAGCUCGUAGGCGGUUUGUCGCGUCGAAUGUGAAAACCCGGGGCUCAACCCCGGGCCUGCAUUCGAUACGGGCAGACUAGAGUUCGGUAGGGGAGUCUGGAAUUCCUGGUGUAGCGGUGAAAUGCGCAGAUAUCAGGAGGAACACCAGUGGCGAAGGCG
rnacentral:rRNA from 1 species